GCCAAAACUAGCCCAAACACUCAUAAACUCAAUUACCAUAAAAUAAUAAAUUAAAACAUUUAGUUUAACCCUUAAAAGUAUAGGAGAUAGAAAUUUAAUUUGGCGCUAUAGAGAUAGUACCGCAAGGGAAAGAUGAAAGAAAUAUUAAAAGCACAAUACAGCAAAGAUUACCCCUUGUACCUUUUGCAUAAUGAGCUAGCUAGACAUAGUCUAACAAAGAGAACUUAAGCUAGAUACCCCGAAACCAGACGAGCUACCUAUGAACAAUCUUUUACAGGAUAAACUCGUCUAUGUCGCAAAAUAGUGAGAAGAUUUAUAGGUAGAGGUGAAACGCCUAACGAGCCUGGUGAUAGCUGGUUGCCCAGAAUAGAAUUUUAGUUCAACUUUAAACUUACCUAAAAAACUAUUAAUUCUAAUGUAAGUUUAAAAUAUAGUCUAAAAAGGUACAGCUUUUUAGACUUAGGAUACAGCCUUUCUUAGAGAGUAAACAUUAACACAACCAUAGUUGGCUUAAAAGCAGCCAUCAAUUAAGAAAGCGUUCAAGCUCAACAAAUAAAACAACUUAAUCCCAAAAAUAUAUAAUCAACUCCUAAUAUUAAUACUGGGCUAAUCUAUUUUAUUAUAGAAGAAAUAAUGCUAAUAUGAGUAACAAGAAAUAUUUUCUCCUUGCAUAAGCUUAUAUCAGAACGGAUAACCACUGAUAGUUAACAACAAGAUAUAAAUAAUCUAACAAUAAACCCAAUAUCAAAUCAAUUGUUAACCCAACACAGGCAUGCAAUUAAGGAAAGAUUAAAAGAAGUAAAAGGAACUCGGCAAACAUAAACCCCGCCUGUUUACCAAAAACAUCACCUCUAGCAUAUCCAGUAUUAGAGGCACUGCCUGCCCAGUGACAUUCGUUAAACGGCCGCGGUAUCCUGACCGUGCAAAGGUAGCAUAAUCACUUGUUCCCUAAAUAGGGACUCGUAUGAAUGGCCACACGAGGGUUUUACUGUCUCUUACUUCCAAUCCGUGAAAUUGACCUUCCCGUGAAGAGGCGGGGAUAUAAUAAUAAGACGAGAAGACCCUAUGGAGCUUCAAUUAACUGAUCCAAAGAGAUUAAUAUAUACCGACAGGGACAACAAUCCUCCAUAAUGGAUCAACAAUUUAGGUUGGGGUGACCUCGGAGUACAAAACAACCUCCGAAUGAUUUCUAAUCAAGACUAACCAGUCAAAAGUAUUACAUCAUUAAUUGAUCCAAAAUUAUUUGAUCAACGGAACAAGUUACCCUAGGGAUAACAGCGCAAUCCUAUUUUAGAGUCCAUAUCGACAAUAGGGUUUACGACCUCGAUGUUGGAUCAGGACAUCCCGAUGGUGCAGCAGCUAUCAAAGGUUCGUUUGUUCAACGAUUAAAGUCCUACGUGAUCUGAGUUCAGACCGGAGCAAUCCAGGUCGGUUUCUAUCUAUUAAACAAUUUCUCCCAGUACGAAAGGACAAGAGAAAUAAGGCCUACUUUACUAAAGCGCCUUCAACCUAAUAGAUGAUAUAAUCUUAAUCUAAACAGUUUACCACACAUACUACCCGAGAGUUCGGGUUU
rnacentral:rRNA from 1 species